rnacentral:rRNA from 1 species
UACGUACGAGGCGAGCGUUAUCCGGAAUUACUGGGCGUAAAGCGCGCGCAGGCGGUCUUCCAAGUCAGUGGUGAAAGCCCGGAGCUCAACUCCGGAACUGCCAUUGAAACUGUGAGACUUGAGGAUGAGAGAGGUGAGUGGAAUUCCCAGUGUAGAGGUGAAAUUCGUAGAUAUUGGGAAGAACACCGGUGGCGAAGGCGGCUCACUGGCUCAUUUCUGACGCUCAGGCGCGACAGCGUGGGGAUCAAACAGG